rnacentral:rRNA from 1 species
UACGUAGGGUGCGAGCGUUGUCCGGAAUUAUUGGGCGUAAAGAGCUCGUAGGCGGUCUGUCGCGUCGAUCGUGAAAACUUGGGGCUUAACCCUGAGCUUGCGGUCGAUACGGGCAUGACUGGAGUUCGGCAGGGGAGACUGGAAUUCCAGGUGUAGCGGUGAAAUGCGUAGAUAUCUGGAGGAACACCGGUGGCGAAGGCGGCAUUCUGGACUACAACUGACACUGAGGAACGAAAGCCAGGGGAGCAAACGGG